rfam:Callithrix jacchus chromosome 7, whole genome shotgun sequence
UUACUGGUUUUUUUAAAAACCACCUAUGAAAGACAUUUAGGGGGAA